rnacentral:rRNA from 1 species
AUUGAACGCUGGCGGCAUGCUUUACACAUGCAAGUCGGACGGCAGCACAGAGAAGCUUGCUUCUUGGGUGGCGAGUGGCGAACGGGUGAGUAACAUAUCGGAACGUACCGAGCAGUGGGGGAUAACUAAUCGAAAGAUUAGCUAAUACCGCAUAUAUUCUGAGGAAGAAAGCAGGGGACCAUUUGGCCUUGCGCUGUUUGAGCGGCCGAUAUCUGAUUAGCUAGUUGGUGGGGUAAAGGCCUACCAAGGCGACGAUCAGUAGCGGGUCUGAGAGGAUGAUCCGCCACACUGGGACUGAGACACGGCCCAGACUCCUACGGGAGGCAGCAGUGGGGAAUUUUGGACAAUGGGCGCAAGCUUGAUCCAGCCAUGCCGCGUGUCUGAAGAAGGCCUUCGGGUUGUAAAGGACUUUUGUCAGGGAAGAAAA